GAUUAAAUGGCUGAAUUUAGGCGUUAGAUUGUAAAUCUAUUUAUAAGAAUUGUUCUUUUUAAUCA
rnacentral:tRNA from 1 species